rnacentral:rRNA from 1 species
AGAGUUUGAUCCUGGCUCAGGAUGAACGCUGGCGGCGUGCUUAACACAUGCAAGUCGAACGGAACUUGUUAAGCUGAAACUUCGGUCGAUUCUUUUCGAGUUUAGUGGCGGACGGGUGAGUAACGCAUGGGUAACCUGCCUCAUACAGGGGGAUAACAGUUAGAAAUGACUGCUAAUACCGCAUAAGCGCACAGUACCGCAUGGUACAGUGUGAAAAACUCCGGUGGUAUGAGAUGGACCCGCGUCUGAUUAGCUAGUUGGUGAGGUAACGGCCCACCAAGGCGACGAUCAGUAGCCGACCUGAGAGGGUGACCGGCCACAUUGGGACUGAGACACGGCCCAAACUCCUACGGGAGGCAGCAGUGGGGAAUAUUGCACAAUGGGGGAAACCCUGAUGCAGCGACGCCGCGUGAGUGAAGAAGUAUUUCGGUAUGUAAAGCUCUAUCAGCAAGGAAGAAAAUGACGGUACUUGACUAAGAAGCCCCGGCUAACUACGUGCCAGCAGCCGCGGUAAUACGUAGGGGGCAAGCGUUAUCCGGAUUUACUGGGUGUAAAGGGAGCGUAGACGGCGAUGCAAGUCUGAAGUGAAAGCCCGGGGCUCAACCCCGCGGACUGCUUUGGAAACUGUGUUGCUAGAGUGUCGGAGAGGUAAGUGGAAUUCCUAGUGUAGCGGUGAAAUGCGUAGAUAUUAGGAGGAACACCAGUGGCGAAGGCGGCUUACUGGACGAUAACUGACGUUGAGGCUCGAAAGCGUGGGGAGCAAACAGGAUUAGAUACCCUGGUAGUCCACGCCGUAAACGAUGAAUUCUAGGUGUUGGGGAGCAAAGCUUUUUGGGGGCCGCCGCAAACGCAAUAAGUAUUCCACCUGGGGAGUACGUUUCGCAAGAAUGAAACUCAAAGGAAUUGACGGGGACCCGCACAAGCGGUGGAGCAUGUGGUUUAAUUUGAAGCAACGCGAAGAACCUUACCAAGUCUUGACAUCCCCCUGACCGGCACGUAACGGUGCCUUCUCUUCGGAGCAGGGGAGACAGGUGGUGCAUGGUUGUCGUCAGCUCGUGUCGUGAGAUGUUGGGUUAAGUCCCGCAACGAGCGCAACCCUUAUCCUUAGUAGCCAGCAGGUAAAGCUGGGCACUCUGGGGAGACUGCCGGGGAUAACCUGGAGGAAGGUGGGGAUGACGUCAAAUCAUCAUGCCCCUUAUGAUCAGGGCUACACACGUGCUACAAUGGCGUAAACAAAGGGAGGCGAGGCCGCGAUCCGGAGCAAAUCUCAAAAAUAACGUCUCAGUUCGGAUUGUAGUCUGCAACUCGACUACAUGAAGCUGGAAUCGCUAGUAAUCGCGGAUCAGAAUGUUGCGGUGAAUACGUUCCCGGGUCUUGCACUCACCGCCCGUCA